GUUGUUGUGAAGAGUCAAUGAGAAAGUGCACACAAAGCCGGCGUCACAGUGUAAGCGCUCAGAACACACUUGAGUUGCUUCUAGCUCUUGGCUUUUUGGAACAACGCUGCGAUGAAGGUGAAGAACUUUUCUAUUCAUCAACAGAUACAACAAAGAAGAUUAAAAGGCC